AUUGAACGCUGGCGGCAGGCCUAACACAUGCAAGUCGAACGAGUGGCGGACGGGUGGGUAAUGUCUGGGAAACUGCGUGGGGGAUGGGGUUAGCUACUGGAAACGGUAGCUACUACCGCAUACCAUCAGAUGGGCCCAGAUGGGAUUAGCGUGUUGGUGGGGGAACGGCUGACCAAGGCGACGAACCCUAGCUGGUCUGAGAGGAUGAACAGCCACACUGGAACUGAGACACGGUCCAGACUCCUACGGGAGGCAGCAGUGGGGAAUAUUGCACAAUGGGCGCAAGCCUGAUGCAGCCAUGCCGCGUGUAUGAAGAAGGCCUUCGGGUUGUAAAGUACUUUCAGCGGGGAGGCGUUACCCGCAGAAGAAGCACCGGCUAACUCCGUGCCAGCAGCCGCGGUAAUAC
rnacentral:rRNA from 1 species